CGGGUCCGCCAGGCGGCCGCGGCACCGGAACUCUAAACCGGGGGAAAGCCGAGGAACGUCCGGGCUCCGCAGGGAGCGGCGGUGGGUAACGCCCACUCAGGGAAACCUGCAGGAAAGUGCCACAGAAAACAAACCGCCUGCGGAUGCGAAAGCAGACGCGGUAAGGGUGAAAAGGUGAGGUAAGAGCUCACCGCGUCACCGGUGACGGUGACGGCACGGUAAACCCCGCCGGGAGCAAGGCCAAGCAGUGCGCGUUGAGGUGUCCCGCCGAGCGCACGGGUAGGCUGCUAGAGUUUGGCGGUAACGUCAAACGCAGAUGGAUGGUCGCCCAAGACAGAACCCGGCGUAUCGGCGGGCCCGUUCU
rnacentral:RNase_P_RNA from 2 species